UACAGAGGGUGCGAGCGUUGUCCGGAAUCACUGGGCGUAAAGGGCGCGUAGGUGGCGACCCAAGUCGAUGGUGAAAGCUCGCCGCUCAACGGCGAGUCGGCCACCGAUACUGGGUUGCUCGAGCACUGUAGAGGCUAACGGAAUUCCGGGUGUAGCGGUGGAAUGCGUAGAGAUCCGGAAGAACACCGGUGGCGAAGGCGGUUAGCUGGGCAGUUGCUGACACUGAGGCGCGACAGCGUGGGGAGCAAACAGG
rnacentral:rRNA from 1 species